CUCGGGCCCUUGCACUCUCGAGGCAGGUGGCAGAACCACUGAGCUGAAUCCCCGGCUUUUCCGAGUAUCUCUUGUUUUGGACGGUCUUAGGGAGUGGUCUCUUGGGGAAAGGAAAAUGAGAGAUUUUUUUUUCAAUAUUAGGAAAUAAUUUUUAGUAGCUCAUUUUGGUUUGGAGGAUAAGGUAGAAACCUAGAAGAAAUAAAUAAAAACAGGUAGGACUUAUUCAUUAAAGGCAACCAGUUGCAAAAGUUAUUUUUACCCUCCACUCUGGUUCUCCAACACCCAGUUUCAUUCUUUCUCAAAAAUUAAUGGCGUGGUGUAGUCUGGUACUCUGGAAGACUGAGACAGGAAGAUUGCAAGUAUGAGAAGAGCCUGGGUAAUUUAGCGAGCUAGUGUAGUGACACUUUGUCUCAAGAAGUUUUCAAAAAAGAGAGGAGGCCUAGGCAUAUAGCUCAGUAUGAAGGCCCCAGAUUCAGUCCCUAGUACUGUAUAAACAAUGCAUAGUUAACAUACUAAAACUAUCUAAUGCUAGGGAUGUAUGUAAAACACGCAGACAAGUUGAAUCUGAUGCUGGGUCACUGACAGGCAUAAAUAACUUUUUUGUGGCACUGGGAUCGGACCCACAGCCUUUUGGCAAAUGCCCUGCUACUGAGCUACUUCCCCAGCCUGUUGGGAUGUUUUUGAUGCUGAAUCUUAGGGCAGGCUUAAAAUAGAAGUUCAAUUAGGGUUAAAAUACCUAUGCUAGAAAAUAAUAUACUAUAGUAAUGCAGUCAAAAGAUUUUUGUAAAAACAGCGGAGGGGCACUGAAGGGUUUAUGCAGUCACACCGUCUUAACUUUAAAUAUUUACAUCCAGAGAAUGGUCAAAAAGUACCACACAAGGGGCACAUCUAAUGCAGUGAUGCUCCAGAUUGUGGUUUCCACUGCCCUGCUUUAUUUUGUCCAAAAUUGAUCAAACCUGCUGGUGUUCUACCUCUGAGCUGUUUUGUUUGGUUUUGGACAGGGUCUCACUAAGUUCUUAGGCUGGCCUCCAAUCUGUGGUCUUCCUGGGUAGCUGGGAUUGAAGGGAUGUGCCUCCAUGCCUGGCACCACUGCUCUUUUGAUUCCCUAGACUAGUUCUUUUUUUCAUAUUACUAACAAAAGACAAACAUUGCUUAUUACACAGUUGAGAAGAACAUGUUUCCACAAAAGGAUUAGAUUAGGUGCCAGGCAGGUGUGGUUUUGCACACCUACAAUUCCAGCACUGAGGAGGCUGAGGCAAAGAUCACCCCGAGUUUGAGGCCAGUCUGGCUACGUAGCAAAACCCUGUCUUAACCAGGCUGAGGAUUUAACUCAGUGGUUCUGCCACCUGCCUCGCAAGUGCAAGGUCCCGUGUUGGAUCCCUGGUACCCCCCAAAAACCCCAAAACAAAACAACUACUUACUGAAUUAAAAAUGGACUUGUAUACCAUUAGCAUAUAGGUAACCCGAGGUAAUCCUUAGCAGGCUCAUGAGCUCCCUCUGGGGGAAUCUAUACUGUUAGCACCCCAAAAAUUCUGUUGGCCACUGGUUUGCAAACCGAGCUGCAGUGGGAUUUGAGAAGGCUACAUACAGCUAGCAUUCUCUAAGGUCCUUACAGGCACAGGAAAGAGGCACAUGGGAGGAAUGGCCUCGAGACUGCAUCAUAUUGAGAAAUCUUGGUCCUGCAUGGAGUGCCCUAGCAAAGGUUUCUUGUUAGAAUGUCUAGUACUCAUUACAGGCAAUCCAAGGAGGUUCCCAGAGCAGUGCAAUAAGGAACCUAAACCUGCCCUACCCACAGGGUAGGUUUGUAGGUUCAGUGUCUCUUACUGUAGAAAAAAAUUUUGGGGGGAUCGAUUAGAGUCACGGGAAGGAUUUGUUAGGUAGAAACACAAAAGUACAAAUUCAAAUGGAGUGUGGACCUUCAGAAAAACGAGACAUUGUUUCCUGGAACUGGGAACAUUUAUGCUUGUCUUGCAGGGGUGGAGAUCCUGGGAAAAAGCCUACUCCCUAGAAGGGUACUGCUCAUUUUAUUUUAUUUUAAAUUUUGAAGGUCAUGACUUUUAUUACCCGUGUAAUUUUGUUUUUGUUUUUGUUUUUGGGUACCAGGGAUUGAACUGAGGACCUUGUGCUUUCGAGGCAGGCACCGGAACCACUGAGCUAAAUCCCCAGCCCCUUCAUUUUAUAGGGAACAGGGAAAGGGGACAUUACUACAACCUCUGCAGUAAAUCCUAGUCUCCUGCGAGCCACGACAGCGCAAGGCGAAUUACAGGAAAGGUAGAAAAAUGAGACCGAGAAGAAGCUGAGCUUUGGGUUUGAUCAGUGCUGCUCUGAGCGGCAAAGCUGAAAGCCCCCAGCUUACCGUACAUCGGGAGAAACAAAUGUAACAAAUGACUUGCAGAGAGUUCAGUACAUCCGCGUAAACAAGACGUAACAAUCCAAGAACAAUGAGGAACUGAGUAGAUGAAGACUUUGUUCCUCCCAGGAUGUCUUCAGCUGGUGUAAUCUUGUCCUGGAGAAUCACAGCAUCACCGGAUCAUUGAGGUCUCAGUGGUGACCGGAGGCCAAAAUGGAAUUAUGUCUCGCAAUUCCAUAGUUGGGCUGUAGGCAGGAGAAGUAGGCUAACCAAAUGAUUUUCCCCUAAAAUUAUGUAGCAUUGGUCCUGACAGCCCCUCACUUUUUCACAGUUUCCCUUUUUCACAGUUUCUUCCUAUUUCAUAUUAUCUAUUAUACAUUUUUUUAAAAGGUGGGUAAUUUGAGC
ensembl:lncRNA